GUGCUCACUUCAGCAGCACAUGUACUAAAAUUAGAACAAUACAGAGAAGAUUCACAUGGCCCCUGCGCAAGGAUGACAUGCAAAUUCAUAAAGCCUUCCAUAUUUUU